rnacentral:lncRNA from 1 species
GGGGCUAGUGUAGGUGAAUCUCUACCGGUGUGAUCACCCUACGAGGAAGAUCACGCUGGAGUUCUAGAGCUAGAAGUCAUCAAGAUCAAGGUAGGAUCCAGGUGGUGAUCUUGUGAUGUAUAAUCAUUCAUGAUGAAAUAAUAGAUGUGUUCAUGUUCUUAGCGAUCUAAGUAUCUCCUUUGAUGGUUUUAUGCUUUAUCGGGUUUGUUUGUUUUUCAAUCUAUGAAUCGAUGAUAGAUUGCCUAGGGUGUUCUUGUGGUUGUGGUGACCAAAUUUGCAUGCCUGAUCUACCGAUGAGUAUGACAUAUUCUUAUGAUCAUGCCCUUAACCUGCUUGUAGUGAUAGAGGUGAUCGUGACAGGAUCUUUCUUGUGUAAGGUGGUGGGUUUCGGGAUCCAUACUGGACGUGUAGAUUUAAAGAUGCUUUUUACUAAGACCAUAUUUGUGUUUCUUUGCUAUCCAUGCUCAGAAUUAUAACAUAUGCAUAAUCUAGGUUGCUCUAGAUUGGUUAUCUUUGCUCUAUCUAUUAUCUGUCUGUAUAUGCUUAGUAGAUUGGAUCUGAAUCUCUCAUAAACACAAAGUUAAUACUAACAAUGCAUGUUGAAAUAGAUAUCGUACUAUAAGUUUUCCGGAUUGAUAAACUUUAGGGGAAUACUCUGAGGGAAGAGUUACAACUGAUCCGUACGCUUGCGGUUCACAAAUUGGCAUGCUAACAACCAUCAACAGCGGGCUAGUAUAAGAAUAUGUAUGAAAACACUAUUCAAAUGGCACUAAAAGUAUGUCAAUAAUGAGCAUCAACAAUCCCCCAUGCUUAAACCUUGCUCGUCCUCUAGUAAGUCCUUGAUACUUGCUUAAUCAGGAAAUCAGCAUUGCCCUUUAAUGUCAUCCCUACACUCAGUUAUACAUAACAAGACACAUUGCUCUCUCAAGUAUUUAGCAUUUAAAGUUCAAGUUGUGACCGGCUAUUUUUCAUCGUGGAAGAUAGACUAACAAUAAAGAACAUGCCACAAUAAAAUAAAUACAUUGUUCUUGAACUUAAGUGAACUUCAGACCUUUACCG